GGGUUGUGAGGUUAAGCGACUAAGCGUACACGGUGGAUGCCCUGGCAGUCAGAGGCGAUGAAGGACGUGCUAAUCUGCGAUAAGCGUCGGUAAGGUGAUAUGAACCGUUAUAACCGGCGAUUUCCGAAUGGGGAAACCCAGUGUGAUUCGUCACACUAUCAUUAACUGAAUCCAUAGGUUAAUGAGGCGAACCGGGGGAACUGAAACAUCUAAGUACCCCGAGGAAAAGAAAUCAACCGAGAUUCCCCCAGUAGCGGCGAGCGAACGGGGAGCAGCCCAGAGCCUGAAUCAGUGUGUGUGUUAGUGGAAGCGUCUGGAAAGGCGUGCGAUACAGGGUGACAGCCCCGUACACAAAAAUGCACAUAUUGUGAGCUCGAUGAGUAGGGCGGGACACGUGGUAUCCUGUCUGAAUAUGGGGGGACCAUCCUCCAAGGCUAAAUACUCCUGACUGACCGAUAGUGAACCAGUACCGUGAGGGAAAGGCGAAAAGAACCCCGGCGAGGGGAGUGAAAAAGAACCUGAAACCGUGUACGUACAAGCAGUGGGAGCACGCUUAGGCGUGUGACUGCGUACCUUUUGUAUAAUGGGUCAGCGACUUAUAUUCUGUAGCAAGGUUAACCGAAUAGGGGAGCCGAAGGGAAACCGAGUCUUAACUGGGCGUUAAGUUGCAGGGUAUAGACCCGAAACCCGGUGAUCUAGCCAUGGGCAGGUUGAAGGUUGGGUAACACUAACUGGAGGACCGAACCGACUAAUGUUGAAAAAUUAGCGGAUGACUUGUGGCUGGGGGUGAAAGGCCAAUCAAACCGGGAGAUAGCUGGUUCUCCCCGAAAGCUAUUUAGGUAGCGCCUCGUGAAUUCAUCUCCGGGGGUAGAGCACUGUUUCGGCAAGGGGGUCAUCCCGACUUACCAACCCGAUGCAAACUGCGAAUACCGGAGAAUGUUAUCACGGGAGACACACGGCGGGUGCUAACGUCCGUCGUGAAGAGGGAAACAACCCAGACCGCCAGCUAAGGUCCCAAAGUCAUGGUUAAGUGGGAAACGAUGUGGGAAGGCCCAGACAGCCAGGAUGUUGGCUUAGAAGCAGCCAUCAUUUAAAGAAAGCGUAAUAGCUCACUGGUCGAGUCGGCCUGCGCGGAAGAUGUAACGGGGCUAAACCAUGCACCGAAGCUGCGGCAGCGACACUGAUGUGUUGUUGGGUAGGGGAGCGUUCUGUAAGCCUGCGAAGGUGUGCUGUGAGGCAUGCUGGAGGUAUCAGAAGUGCGAAUGCUGACAUAAGUAACGAUAAAGCGGGUGAAAAGCCCGCUCGCCGGAAGACCAAGGGUUCCUGUCCAACGUUAAUCGGGGCAGGGUGAGUCGACCCCUAAGGCGAGGCCGAAAGGCGUAGUCGAUGGGAAACAGGUUAAUAUUCCUGUACUUGGUGUUACUGCGAAGGGGGGACGGAGAAGGCUAUGUUGGCCGGGCGACGGUUGUCCCGGUUUAAGCGUGUAGGCUGGUUUUCCAGGCAAAUCCGGAAAAUCAAGGCUGAGGCGUGAUGACGAGGCACUACGGUGCUGAAGCAACAAAUGCCCUGCUUCCAGGAAAAGCCUCUAAGCAUCAGGUAACAUCAAAUCGUACCCCAAACCGACACAGGUGGUCAGGUAGAGAAUACCAAGGCGCUUGAGAGAACUCGGGUGAAGGAACUAGGCAAAAUGGUGCCGUAACUUCGGGAGAAGGCACGCUGAUAUGUAGGUGAAGCGACUUGCUCGUGGAGCUGAAAUCAGUCGAAGAUACCAGCUGGCUGCAACUGUUUAUUAAAAACACAGCACUGUGCAAACACGAAAGUGGACGUAUACGGUGUGACGCCUGCCCGGUGCCGGAAGGUUAAUUGAUGGGGUCAGCGCAAGCGAAGCUCUUGAUCGAAGCCCCGGUAAACGGCGGCCGUAACUAUAACGGUCCUAAGGUAGCGAAAUUCCUUGUCGGGUAAGUUCCGACCUGCACGAAUGGCGUAAUGAUGGCCAGGCUGUCUCCACCCGAGACUCAGUGAAAUUGAACUCGCUGUGAAGAUGCAGUGUACCCGCGGCAAGACGGAAAGACCCCGUGAACCUUUACUAUAGCUUGACACUGAACAUUGAGCCUUGAUGUGUAGGAUAGGUGGGAGGCUUUGAAGUGUGGACGCCAGUCUGCAUGGAGCCGACCUUGAAAUACCACCCUUUAAUGUUUGAUGUUCUAACGU
rnacentral:rRNA from 1 species